rnacentral:sRNA from 1 species
GGAUGUCAGGGCGAUCUGGCUGUGAUAUCUGUCACCCCAUUGAUCACCAGGGUUGAUUUGGCUGGUCUGGCUGGCUGUCCCCUUCCUCCCUCGAUGCUCCAUGUGCGUCCCUCCCAAAGCUGCACACUUUGUCAAAGAGGACAACCACCCCCGAUAGAGGAGGACCAUUCCUCGGUCAAGGGUAUAUAUAUA